AGAAUCCAGUCGGCUUAUUAACUCUGGUCCGGUUUUUCCGAAAGCAAGUUCGCUGGUAAAGAUGGCACAGCUACUGGCAAGCUGUGUUGUUCUUUAUUUAGUCGUACUUACGCUCCAGACAGCGGCCAGCAACUGACUGGCAGCAACAGCGUGAGGAAAGUCCCAUAUUCAACCGCAUCACCAAUAUACGGAAGAAAUUUCAGAAAAAAGGUGUAGGACAGCCUUGCAAGAGCAGCAAUGAUUGCUACAGCUGGCUCUGCUGCAGGAUGGUCGGAGGAGCAAGAACUUGCCAGGCGCUAUCUAGAUUCGGCCAGAAAUGUUCGGAAGAUCAACUGAAAGGUGGAUACUACUUGGGUCAUUGCCCUUGCGGAAGGAGAGCUGGUCACUGCCAAAUGUUUAGGGGCCGGAAGUUCGGCGAAUGUUCGUAUGCCAGGCGGCGUUGACGUGACAAAGAUAUUAACCUUAAAUUGUAUAUAUAUUUUUGUGUAUCUUCUCAUCGACCUGCGAAGCGCCAUUUUGUUCACAUAAACAAUAAAGAUAUCUUUAGUGU
rnacentral:lncRNA from 1 species